CCUACGGGAGGCAGCAGUAGGGAAUAUUCCACAAUGGGCGAAAGCCUGAUGGAGCAACGCCGCGUGGGUGAAGAAGGUCUUCGGAUCGUAAAACCCUGUUGUUAGAGAAGAAAGUGCGUGAGAGUAACUGUUCACGUUUCGACGGUAUCUAACCAGAAAGCCACGGCUAACUACGUGCCAGCAGCCGCGGUAAUACGUAGGUGGCAAGCGUUAUCCGGAUUUAUUGGGCGUAAAGGGAACGCAGGCGGUCUUUUAAGUCUGAUGUGAAAGCCUUGGGCUUAACCGGCGUAGUGCAUUGGAAACUGGGAAACUUGAGUGCGGAAGAGGAGAGUGGAACUCCAUGUGUAGCGGUGAAAUGCGUAGAUAUAUGGAAGAACACCAGAGGCGAAAGCGGCUCUCUGGUCUUUAACUGACGCUGAGGUUCGAAAGCGUGGGUAGCAAACAGGAUUAGAUACCCUGGUAGUC
rnacentral:rRNA from 1 species